AUGGCCUCUGUUAUCUCCACAAAGACCUUUGUCCAACCAAGGCUGGCCAUAGAGAAGAGUGAGAGGACAUCCAUGGAGGGCCCAAGAAGAACCUGCAAGUUCCCUCUGCUGGGCCAGACAAAUAGACCCUCUCUCAGCCUUUUAGACCAGAAGGGACCUCCAUUCCAGCCAGAGAUCACAGACAACAGGUAUCCUUCUUGACCCACUGCCAUCCAUUAUCCUGUUGCUUAAAAUCCUUCUGUGGCCUCCUAUUACCUAGAACAAGGUUAGCAAAUUACAGCCCAGGGGUUAAUCUGGCCUGCUUCCUUGUCUCAUAAAUAAAGUUUGAUUGGAACACAGCCUCACUCAUUUGUUUGCACACUGUCCAUGGCUACUUUUGCACUAAACAACAUAGCUGAGUAGCAGAGUCCUUGCAACAAAGACCUUAUGGCCUGGAACAUUUAAAAACAGUGACUAUGUAGCCGUUUAUAGAAAAAGACUGCUGGUCGUUGAACUAGAGAAGAAAGUUUAAAAGUUUUCCCUACGCCCACCAGGUCUUCUGUGUUCCGGCCCCAGCUAUUCCUGGGUCCUUCCUUUUGCACUACUCUCUCCUCUACUCAGUUUGCUUCUCCACAAGCAAUAGUGACUGCCGUAGGCCACAAAUAAAUUGAUGGGAAAGCUAUAGCGAAAUACUCACCGGACUGAUAGGAAGGCUGGGGAAAUGACUUAAAAAAUGGGGUCCAG
rnacentral:lncRNA from 1 species